UGGCGGCAAUAGCGCGGUGGUCCCACCUGACCCCAUGCCGAACUCAGAAGUGAAACGCCGUAGCGCCGAUGGUAGUG
rnacentral:rRNA from 1 species